rnacentral:rRNA from 1 species
GCUCAACCGAAGAAGUGCAUCGGAAACUGGGAGACUUGAGUGCAGAAGAGGACAGUGGAACUCCAUGUGUAGCGGUGAAAUGCGUAGAUAUAUGGAAGAACACCAGUGGCGAAGGCGGCUGUCUGGUCUGUAACUGACGCUGAGGCUCGAAAGUAUGGGUAGCAAACAGGAUUAGAUACCCUGGUAGUCCAUACCGUAAACGAUGAAUGCUAAGUGUUGGAGGGUUUCCGCCCUUCAGUGCUGCAGCUAACGCAUUAAGCAUUCCGCCUGGGGAGUACGGCCGCAAGGCUGAAACUCAAAGGAAUUGACGGGGGCCCGCACAAGCGGUGGAGCAUGUGGUUUAAUUCGAAGCUACGCGAAGAACCUUACCAGGUCUUGACAUACUAUGCAAAUCUAAGAGAUUAGACGUUCCCUUCGGGGACAUGGAUACAGGUGGUGCAUGGUUGUCGUCAGCUCGUGUCGUGAGAUGUUGGGUUAAGUCCCGCAACGAGCGCAACCCUUAUUAUCAGUUGCCAGCAUUAAGUUGGGCACUCUGGUGAGACUGCCGGUGACAAACCGGAGGAAGGUGGGGAUGACGUCAAAUCAUCAUGCCCCUUAUGACCUGGGCUACACACGUGCUACAAUGGAUGGUACAACG